rnacentral:rRNA from 1 species
GAAUGCUGACAUAAGUAACGAUAAAGCGGGUGAAAAGCCCGCUCGCCGGAAGACCAAGGGUUCCUGUCCAACGUUAAUCGGGGCAGGGUGAGUCGACCCCUAAGGCGAGGCCGAAAGGCGUAGUCGAUGGGAAACGGGUUAAUAUUCCCGUACUUGGUGUUACUGCGAAGGGGGGACGGAGAAGGCUAUGUUGGCCGGGCGACGGUUGUCCCGGUUUAAGCGUGUAGGUGUGUGUUCCAGGUAAAUCCGGUUCACUUUAACACUGAGGCGUGACGACGAGGCACUACGGUGCUGAAGCAACAAAUGCCCUGCUUCCAGGAAAAGCCUCUAAGCAUCAGGUAACAUCAAAUCGUACCCCAAACCGACACAGGUGGUCAGGUAGAGAAUACCAAGGCGCUUGAGAGAACUCGGGUGAAGGAACUAGGCAAAAUGGUGCCGUAACUUCGGGAGAAGGCACGCUGACACGUAGGUGAAGUGAUUUACUCAUGGAGCUGAAGUCAGUCGAAGAUACCAGCUGGCUGCAACUGUUUAUUAAAAACACAGCACUGUGCAAACACGAAAGUGGACGUAUACGGUGUGACGCCUGCCCGGUGCCGGAAGGUUAAUUGAUGGGGUCAGCGCAAGCGAAGCUCCUGAUCGAAGCCCCGGUAAACGGCGGCCGUAACUAUAACGGUCCUAAGGUAGCGAAAUUCCUUGUCGGGUAAGUUCCGACCUGCACGAAUGGCGUAAUGAUGGCCAGGCUGUCUCCACCCGAGACUCAGUGAAAUUGAACUCGCUGUGAAGAUGCAGUGUACCCGCGGCAAGACGGAAAGACCCCGUGAACCUUUACUAUAGCUUGACACUGAACAUUGAGCCUUGAUGUGUAGGAUAGGUGGGAGGCUUUGAAGUGUGGACGCCAGUCUGCAUGGAGCCGACCUUGAAAUACCACCCUUUAAUGUUUGAUGUUCUAACGUGGACCCGUUACCCGGGUUGCGGACAGUGUCUGGUGGGUAGUUUGACUGGGGCGGUCUCCUCCUAAAGAGUAACGGAGGAGCACGAAGGUUGGCUAAUCCUGGUCGGACAUCAGGAGGUUAGUGCAAUGGCAUAAGCCAGCUUGACUGCGAGCGUGACGGCGCGAGCAGGUGCGAAAGCAGGUCAUAGUGAUCCGGUGGUUCUGAAUGGAAGGGCCAUCGCUCAACGGAUAAAAGGUACUCCGGGGAUAACAGGCUGAUACCGCCCAAGAGUUCAUAUCGACGGCGGUGUUUGGCACCUCGAUGUCGGCUCAUCACAUCCUGGGGCUGAAGUAGGUCCCAAGGGUAUGGCUGUUCGCCAUUUAAAGUGGUACGCGAGCUGGGUUUAGAACGUCGUGAGACAGUUCGGUCCC